GGAAAAGAAACUAACAAGGAUUUUCUUAGUAGCGGCGACCUUAAAAGAAAACAGUUCAGCACUAAGUCACUAAAACCAAGCGAUCGCAAGAUCGUUAUAUUGGUUGAACUCUAGAUAACAUGCAGAUCGUAUGGUCUUGUACCGACGACAGAUCUUUCAAAUGUCUGCCCUAUCAACUUUUGAUGGUAGUAUCUAGGACUACCAUGGUUGCAACGGGUAACGGGGAAUCAGGGUUCGAUUCCGGAGAGGGAGCCUGAGAAACGGCUACCACAUCUAAGGAAGGCAGCAGGCGCGUAAAUUACCCACUCCCAGCUCGGGGAGGUAGUGACGAAAAAUAACAAUACAGGACUCAUAUCCGAGGCCCUGUAAUUGGAAUGAGUACACUUUAAAUCCUUUAACAAGGACCAAUUGGAGGGCAAGUCUGGUGCCAGCAGCCGCGGUAAUUCCAGCUCCAAUAGCGUAUAUUAAAGUUGUUGCGGUUAAAACGUUCGUAGUUGAACUUGUGCUUCAUACGGGUAGUACAACUUACAAUUGUGGUUAGUACUAUACCUUUAUGUAUGUAAGCGUAUUACCGGUGGAGUUCUUAUAUGUGAUUAAAUACUUGUAUUUUUUCAUAUGUUCCUCCUAUUUAAAAACCUGCACUAGUGCUCUUAAACGAGUGUUAUUGUGGGCCGGUACUAUUACUUUGAACAAAUUAGAGUGCUUAAAGCAGGCUUCAAAUGCCUGAAUAUUCUGUGCAUGGGAUAAUGAAAUAAGACCUCUGUUCUGCUUUCAUUGGUUUUCAGAUCAAAAGUAAUGAUUAAUAGAAGCAGUUGGGGGCAUUAUUUUACGACCCGAGAGGGAAAUCUUGGACCGCGUAAGACUAACUUAGCGAAGCUUUGCCAAGAUGUUUCUUAUCAGACAAAGUAGAGGUCAAAACAUCAAUACCCCUAGUCAACAAACAAGCCGCAGCAUUGGUGACUCUUUGGCUCUCUCCUCCGGACCAACUUUUGCCCGGGAGUGUUCAACAAUUAAGAUGAGGAGCCCCGGGGGUCUG
rnacentral:ncRNA from 1 species